GAUGAACGCUGGCGGCGUGCUUAACACAUGCAAGUCGAACGAUGAAGCCCAGCUUGCUGGGUGGAUUAGUGGCGAACGGGUGAGUAACACGUGAGUAACCUGCCCUUAACUCUGGGAUAAGCCUGGGAAACUGGGUCUAAUACCGGAUAGGAGCGUCCACCGCAUGGUGGGUGUUGGAAAGAUUUAUCGGUUUUGGAUGGACUCGCGGCCUAUCAGCUUGUUGGUGAGGUAAUGGCUCACCAAGGCGACGACGGGUAGCCGGCCUGAGAGGGAGACCGGCCACACUGGGACUGAGACACGGCCCAGACUCCUACGGGAGGCAGCAGUGGGGAAUAUUGCACAAUGGGCGCAAGCCUGAUGCAGCGACGCCGCGUGAGGGAUGACGGCCUUCGGGUUGUAAACCUCUUUCAGUAGGGAAGAAGCGAAAGUGACGGUACCUGCAGAAGAAGCACCGGCUAACUACGUG
rnacentral:rRNA from 1 species